AACAUAUGGGUCAAGCCUUAUCUUUGAUAACUGGUCGUAAAGGAUGUUUAGGCGGGUAUUUUUUAGAAAGCUUAAUGGAAAUGUUUGCGUAUCGACGCAAUUCUUCUUUUGCACAAUUUCCCUAUGUAUAUAUAACGAGGUUAAUGUAAGGCAAUGUGAGAGGGUUAACUCUUAGAUGAUAUUGAGUAACGCCGAGAAGCGAAAGCAAUUAACCAUUUAUAUUCUGACGCUGAUGCAUGAAGCUUAAGGUAGCAAAAGGG
rnacentral:rRNA from 1 species